UACGUAGGAUGCGAGCGUUGUCCGGAAUUAUUGGGCGUAAAGCGAACGUAGGCGGCCUGGUAAGUUUGGCCUUAAAGACCGGGGCUCAACCCCGGGAAUGGACCGAAUACUGUCAGGCUGGAGUACGCUAGAGGAUGGUGGAAUUCCAAGUGUAGCGGUGAAAUGCGUAGAUAUUUGGAGGAACACCGGUGGCGAAAGCGACCAUCUGGGGCGUUACUGACGCUGAGGUUCGAAAGCUCGGGGAGCAAACAGG
rnacentral:rRNA from 1 species